UUUAUGUGUAACUUUACAUGUCUAUAGCGGAAGUUGUAAUAAUUAGCACAAAUUACGUAUUAUUAAUUUUAUGUAUAUAUACCAGAAUGUUUCUCUGUACUAUCACUGAGUUCCCGACCAGCAAACAUAAUGAAAGCCACACUUGCCAUUGUCGCCGUCUUGGGUCUGUUUGCCCUGAACUGUGUGAGAGCUGAUGGUUACGGUAAUGGAGGUGGAUACAUGAAGGGUGGAUGGUCCGGGUAUGGAGGUCAAGGAUAUGGAAAUGGAGGUUACCACGGAUAUGGCAAAUCAGGUGGCUCCCACGGAUAUGGAGGAUAUUCCGGAUAUGGAAAGAAGGGAGGCUACGUUGACGAAAUCACACACUACAGUCAAUACCCAGUAUAUGGAGGCGCUGUUGCUGGUCCAUAUGCCGGUGGUUAUGCUGGGUCAUAUGCCGGUGGUAUUGGUGGAGACAUGGACGGUGGUCUGUUCGGACAAAAUGGAGCUCUCCUCAUGUUUUUCUUCUUGCUUCUCCUUUUGGGCAACAACAACAACGGCAAUGGUCUGUUUGGUCGUUAAAUCUGACUUAAUUGUAGUGUAAGAUGUCGAUAUGAAUAAAGCUAGAAGAUUUACGAAAACAGUGAUUAUUUGAGAAGCAUCUGAAGAACAUGUGAACUCUAGUGUAUUGAAAUGGAAAAAAUGUAUACUGUUACAAUUUUGAUAAAAAGUGUAAAAUUUAUUGUAUUGUAAUUGCAAUAAUGUGAUACAUGAAAAAUAAAAUUUAGAAAUUAAA